CCCGGCCGGUACGCCGGCCCCGAGCCGGUGGCUGCGCCCCACCCGGCCGGCUCCGACGCCCCGGAGCCGGUGGCGGCGUUCCACCCGGCCGGGG
rnacentral:tRNA from 1 species